rnacentral:rRNA from 1 species
UACAGAGGUCUCAAGCGUUGUUCGGAUUCAUUGGGCGUAAAGGGCGCGUAGGUGGCGCUGUAAGUCGGGUGUGAAAUUUCGGAGCUUAACUCCGAAACUGCAUUCGAUACUGCGGUGCUUGAGGACUGGAGAGGAGACUGGAAUUUAUGGUGUAGCAGUGAAAUGCGUAGAGAUCAUAAGGAAGACCAGUGGCGAAGGCGGGUCUCUGGACAGUUCCUGACACUGAGGCACGAAGGCCAGGGGAGCAAACGGG